rnacentral:rRNA from 1 species
AACGAACGCUGGCGGCGUGGAUAAGACAUGCAAGUCGAACGGGAUUUCUUUGGUAGCAAUACCGAGGGAAAUUUAGUGGCGAACGGGUGCGUAACACGUGGGGAAUCUGCCGAGAAGUGGGGGAUAGCUCGUCGAAAGGCGAAUUAAUACCGCAUAUGAUCAGCCAAGACAUCUUGGCGACAUCAAAGCCGGGGCAACCUGGCGCUUCUUGAUGACCCCGCGGCCUAUCAGCUAGUUGGUGAGGUAACGGCCCACCAAGGCUUCGAUCAGUAACUGGUGUGAGAGCACGACCAGUCACACGGGCACUGAGACACGGGCCCGACUCCUACGGGAGGCAGCAGUAAGGAAUAUUGGUCAAUGGACGCAAGUCUGAACCAGCCAUGCCGCGUGGAGGAUGAAGGUCCUCUGGAUUGUAAACUUCUUUUAUCUGGGAAGAAACCCUAUUUUUUCUAAAGUGGUUGACGGUACCAGAAGAAUAAGCACCGGCUAACUCCGUGCCAGCCGCCGACC